AUACGUAGGGGGCGAGCGUUGUCCGGAUUUAUUGGGUUUAAAGGGUGCGUAGGCGGAUGAUUAAGCGUGAGGUGAAAUGCCACUGCUCAACAGUGGAACUGCCUCGCGAACUGGUUGUCUUGAAUGCUCCUGCCGUGGGAGGAAUGUGUGGUGUAGCGGUGAAAUGCAUAGAGAUCACACAGAACACCGAUUGCGAAGGCAUCUCACGAAGGGGUGAUUGACGCUGAGGCACGAAAGCGUGGGGAUCAAACAGGAUUAGAUACCCUGGUAGUCCACGCAGUAAACGAUGAUAACUAACCGCUGGGUCGUAGUGAUUCAGUGGCCAAGCGAAAGCGAUAAGUUAUCCACCUGGGGAGUACGACCGCAAGGUUGAAACUCAAAGGAAUUGACGGGG
rnacentral:rRNA from 1 species